rnacentral:rRNA from 1 species
UACGUGAGGGGCGAACGUUGUUCGGUGUCACUGGGCUUAAAGGGUGCGUAGGUGGUUUCGUAAGUAAGGUGUGAAAGCCCUCGGCUUACCCGGGGAAUUGCGCCUUAUACUGCGAGACUUGAGGAUUUCAGGGGAAUGGGGAACUCCAGGUGUAGCGGUGAAAUGCGCAGAUAUCUGGGGGAAGGCCGGCGGCGAAGGCGCCAUUCUGGGAAAUUCCUGACACUGAGGCACGAAAGCGUGGGAAGCAAACAGG